UUAAUAUAUAGGCCUUGGGACUUCAUUUGGGGUCAUUUUCUACUGAUUUUAGAGAGAAAGAGGGAACCUAGCACUCCAAAUCACCUAAUCUUGUUCGAAUCUUCAAGAAUCAAGGAAGCUAGCCACGAGAUUAUUAUCCAUCCAAGUAAGUCCUACUCCUAGAGCUUUAAUGCAAGAGAUUAAGAGUUCAAAUAUCUGGUAGAGUUAAAUAUAAGCCAUGCAUGUGCACUAGGCUGUAGUAUGUGGAAUUGUCAACUAUUUUUGGGUAGUUUCUUGUUGAAAUUAGUUGAGGAAAGAAG
rnacentral:lncRNA from 1 species